AACGAACGCUGGCGGCAGGCUUAACACAUGCAAGUCGAACGCAUCCUUCGGGGUGAGUGGCAGACGGGUGAGUAACGCGUGGGAACGUGCCCUUCAGUUCGGGAUAACCCAGGGAAACUUGGGCUAAUACCGGAUACGUGCGAGAGCAGAAAGAUUUAUCGCUGAAGGAUCGGCCCGCGUCUGAUUAGCUAGUUGGUGGGGUAAUGGCCCACCAAAGCGACGAUCAGUAGCUGGUCUGAGAGGAUGAUCAGCCACAUUGGGACUGAGACACGGCCCAAACUCCUACGGGAGGCAGCAGUGAGGAAUAUUGGACAAUGGGCGCAAGCCUGAUCCAGCCAUGCCGCGUGAGUGAUGAAGGCCUUAGGGUUGUAAAGCUCUUUCGUCCGGGACGAUAAUGACGGUACCGGAAGAGGAAGCCCCGGCUAACUUCGUGCCAGCCGCCGCCGUAA
rnacentral:rRNA from 1 species